rnacentral:tRNA from 1 species
GGCCAGCAUGGCAUAGUGGUUUGAGUGCUGGAUUACAACUCUGGAGACCAGGGUUCAAUUCCCACUUGGCCA